AGAAGCCUCAGAGCAUUCUUAACUAAGAAGGCUGCCACUCUCGAGAGGGCAUAAAAUCUGCAUUCCCUUUCAUCUCUCUGGAUUAGUGGAUUAUCCUGCAGUCUGCUUGGUGACUGAGAUACUUUAUACCCUUCAUCUUUGAGUUCUUAAAACUAAUAUAACAACAACAGGUGUUUCAGGGAGGUAAAACCAGCAAGUGGCCAGAGAAGUGAAUCAAACAACAAAACGAGAAAUACUAAAUGAAGAGAAAAAUGAAGAUGAAACCUCCUAAUUUUGCCAACAGAACAGGAUUCUACAGUCCUAUUUUAAUAUUGGAUCUCAGCAAGGCUGAAAUUUAAUUGUUCUUCUAGUUCUAGUUCUCAGCCCCACCAAACUGUGAGGGAAGUGAGCGAACAGCUGUGUGGUGUUGAGCUGACUGCCGGAUUAAACCACAACAUUUUGUUUCCACAUAAACGCUAAUGAUUCUUAAUGUUUUCAAACAUAUUUAAUCCUUUAUGUAUGUGCUUCUCGACAAAGAUCUAGAUUCUCCUCGUGCCCUGUAUUUGGAGUUCAACUGAGAUUUACAUAUCAUCUAACGUAUGUCCUGGGUCUGUCUGUAGGGCCAUUCAUUAUGGGGUAGGCUGAAAGUCUCUGAGACCUCUGGGGAUCUUACUACUUAUUUCUGGUAGUGCCAGUAAUGUGUGAAGCAUUUUAGAUACUCAAGACCAUAAAGGCAUUUGCCAAAGAAGAUCAUACAGUCUCUAAAGGCAGCAAGCUUGAAGGAUAAAAAUAACAAAGGGAUGUUUGUACAAAUCUCCUAGCUCUCUGCCCAAGUAGCAAGA